rnacentral:rRNA from 1 species
GACGAACCGAGCGAACGUUGUUCGGAAUCACUGGGCUUAAAGGGCGCGUAGGCGGGCCGUCAAGUCAGGGGUGAAAGCCUCCAGCUCAACUGGAGAAGUGCCUCUGAUACUGGCGGCCUCGAGGGAGGUAGGGGCGUGCGGAACUUCCGGUGGAGCGGUGAAAUGCGUAGAUAUCGGAAGGAACACCGGUGGCGAAAGCGGCGCGCUGGACCUCUUCUGACGCUGAGACGCGAAAGCGUGGGGAGCGAACAGG